AUGAGAAAACUGUGGCUCCAAUUCUGCCCGUGAGAGGGCCUCUGCUCAGUCUCAGGAGGAACCAAGAAAGGCCUGCCAAUACCGUGUUGGAGAUUGAGGUUUGGCAACCCCAGGAGCCGCCCCCGUGGGUGGGCCCUGCCAUGAGCUGGGAUCCCAAUGUCAGGGUCCCUGAGGGGCUCACUGGAUACCCCAGGCUCUCGGACAAAAGGGGAGCGAGGAACCUGCGACUUCCAGGAAUGUCACAGGAUACACCCCAAAGUCGGCCAGGAGUUCGCAGGCUGCUCUGAAUGAAGGUUAAGUGGGAGCCUGAGGAGGAAGCUGUGUCAGAGGAAAGCCUGCAUGUAUUCAAGCAUGAAGCGUUUUAUAUCUAUCGGAGCCCAGAUGCAUGCUAGGAGCCAGAGCCCAGCAGCCACCCAGUGUUGGCCUCAGAGCCUGGCCCAUCCCAGAGGGAGAGGGUGCCAGGCCUUAUCAGAGAGGCCAAGGCUGGAUUGACCAGAUUUUUCCAGUGCUCACCCGCCCCCUGGUGGUCAUCAUGAGCAUUCCAGGCCUUAGCAAUCUUGAGAAAGAGAUGGCAGAAGAUAGCCUCGGGGCUAGCCUUCUUCUCUAGUGCCCUUCAUUGACUUGUUGGUUUCUGCUGUCAGUGAUCUUACCAUGCAGUGAUGUUCUACGAAUCAACCCCUCAUCUCCAUACCCUGUGACACGCCUCCCUCCCUGGACCCUGCCUGAGGCUCCCACUUACACCAGGCCUGGACUUGAGUUUUCCAGGGAGGACAACUUCUUUGGCCAAAGGUCUCCCAGGAAGACUUUGUCCACUUGUCGUUGGCCACAAAUUCAAGUUAUCCUGUGGGGUUCUUGAGUAGGUUCAAGAAAACUUUAGGGUCUGAACUACGAUCAUGAACCAGAGUGAUACAUAUGAAAUGAACUCAAAACUGCAGAGGAAACAAGAACCCCAG
rnacentral:lncRNA from 1 species